UGGCUAGUGGUUUAGUGGCAGAAUCUGGUCCUGAUUAGACUAAGGCGUUGGUUCGAUUCCAACCUAUCCAA
rnacentral:tRNA from 1 species